GGGGCUGUAGCUCAGCUGGGAGAGCGCCUGGUUCGCAAUCAGGAGGUCGGGGGUUCGAUCCCCCCAGCUCCACCA
rnacentral:tRNA from 1 species